UACGUAGGGUGCAAGCGUUGCCCGGAUUUAUUGGGCGUAAAGGGCGCGCAGGCGGCUACGCACGUCCGUUGUGAAAUCGCCCGGCUCAACUGGGCGGGGUCAGCGGAUACGGCGUAGCUGGAGCAAGCUAGGGGGCAAUGGAAUUCCCGGUGUAGUGGUGGAAUGCGUAGAUAUCGGGAGGAACACCAGUGGCGAAGGCGGUUGCCUGGAGCUUUGCUGACGCUGAGGCGCGAAAGCGUGGGUAGCAAACGAGG
rnacentral:rRNA from 1 species